rnacentral:lncRNA from 1 species
AAAAAUAAAAAUAAAAUAAGAAAAAAAAAUUAAAGCAAAAGAAAAAAGAUAAAUAAAGCACAAAAAAAGAAAAAAAAACAAAAAUACAACAAAAAAUAUAAAAAGUAAGAAAAUAAAAAAGGAAAAAAAUUGAAAAAACAUAUAAGCCUAAUAAUAAAACAAUAUAAAAAGUGGAGAAAAAAAAUUAAAAAAGAGAAAAGUUAAUGCAAAAUAAAAAAAGUACGAGAAUUUAAAAACGCAAAUAAGAAAUGAAAGGAAAUUUGUGAAAAAAAAUAAGAAAAGCAAGAAAGAAAUAAAAUGAAAAGACAAAAGAUUUGAAUAAAAAAGAAAAAAUAAAAAUUUUUAAAAUAACGAAAAAAUUAAAACAAGUAAAAUGAAAGCAUAUGAAAAAAAGCAAAAAGAAGGAAAUUUUGAAGGAAAAAGUUAUUAAAAAAUUACAAAGUAGAACAAAAAUAGCAAAAAAAAAAGGGAAAAUAAAAAAAAAAAAUUUGAACUUUUAUAAAAAUUUUUAAAAUAUAAAUAAAAAUAAAUGGAAAAAUAAAUUAAGAUAAAUAUUAAUAUAGAAGAAAAUUCAAUAAAAUACCAAAAACGCAAAACAUAAAAAGUAAGGAUAUUAAAAAAUUAGGCGAAUAAAAAAAUAUAAAAGAAAAAAUGAAAUUAAAAUUUCAAAUACCAAAAUAGAAAAAAACUUUUAGUUCAGAAUAUCCAAAGAAAACAAAAAAAAAACUAUAACAAAUAUAGGAAAAAAUAUGAAAAAUCCAAGAUAAAAAAUAAAAAUAAAAACAAAGAGAGUGCACAAAAAAGUCUAAUAAUUUAAAGAUGCAAAUAGAAAUGAAAGGAAAUUUGUGAAAAAAAUAAGAAAAGCAAGAAAAGAAUAAAAAUGAAAAGACAAAAGAUUUGGAAUAAAAAAGGAAAAAGAAAUAUAAAAAAAUUUUAAAACAACAAAAAAUUAAAACAAGCAACACUGAAAGCAGAUGAAAAAAAAAAAAAGCAAAAAAGAAAGAAAAUUUGAGGGAAAAAAGUUAUUUAAAAGAUUACACAUAGAACCAAAAAAAUGAAAAUGAAAAAAGAAAAAGAUUCAAAAAAUAAUUAUUUUAAUUUAUAAAAUUUUUUAAAAAAAUAUAAAAUAAAAAUAGUAAUAAAAGAAAAAUAAAAUAAAAUACCAAAAAUGGAAAAAAAAAUAAAAAAGUAAGAAAAAUAAAAAGUUAGCACCAUCAAAAAAAAUAUAAAAAGACAAAAAUGAAAAGACAAUGUUGAAAUAUAAAACAGAAAAAACUUUACGUUUAAAGAAAAAAAAAAAACAAAUCAAGAAAAAGAUAUAAAAAUCAAAAGAUAAAAAUAAAAUAAAAGUUAACAAAAAAAGGAAUAAAAACAAAAGGAAGUGCACAAAAAAGAAGUUAGAGGUUUUAAAAUUGUAAAAAAAAAAAUUAGUUUAUAAAAUACGAACAAAAAAAAAAAAAUAUAACAAACAAUAAGCAAAUAAAGGUAUAAACAUGAAAGAUAAAAAUAAAAGGAGAUAAAAAAUGAAAAGGGAUUACAAAUAGAAAAAAUUAAUUUAGAAAACAUAAGCAAAAAGUAAUAAGAAAAAAUAAAAAAAUCAAAGACAAAAAAUUAACAAAGGGAAAAGUUAAUACAAAUAAAAAUAAAAACAAGACAAGGAAGUGCAAAAAAAAAAGUUAAAACAAGAAAAAAUAAAAAAUGAAGAGUCAAAAUUAUGAAUAAACAAAAAGAAAAAGUUUAUAGAAUAUUUUAAAACAAAGAAAAAGUGAAAAACAAAAAAAUAUGAAAGCACGUGAAAAAAUAAGUAAAAAAAGAAGAAAAAUUUUGAAAGGAGAAAAGUUAAAGAAAAAUUAUAAAAAUGCAAUAGAAAAUAACCAACAAUGAAUAAAAUAAAAAAUUAAACAAAAUAAAAAGAUGAACAAAAUACAAUAAAAAUAUAAAAAGUAAGAAAAUAAAAAAGACAAAAUAAAAAAAAAGUUCAAAAAAUACAAAAAUUGAAAACAUAAUAAGACAUAAUGAGAAACAAUAUAAAAAGUCAAAGGCAAAAAAUUAAAAAAGAGAAAAGUUAAUUCAAAAUAAAAAUGAAAACCAAAGGAGAAAGUGCAAAAAAAAAAAAGUAUGAGAAUUUAAAAACGCAAAUAAGAAGUGAAAGGAAAUUUGUGAAAAAAAGAAAAGAAUAAAAAUGAAAAGAAAAGAUUUGGAAUAAAAAAAGCUUAAGAAAUAUAAAUAAUUUUAAAACAAUGAAAGAAUUAAAACAAAUAAAAACAAAGCAUAUGAAAAAAAGGCAAAAAGAAAGAAAAUUUUGAAGGGAAAAAGUUAUUGAAAAUUUAUAAAAUAGAACAAAAAAUAGCAAAAAAUAGACAAAAAAAUAGGAAAAUGAAAAAUAAAAAAUUUUGAACUUUAUAAAAAUUUUUUAAAAUAUAAAUAAAAAAUAAAUUAAGAGAAAAUAUUAAUAUAAAAGAAAAAUUAAAUAAAAUACGAAAAAAGGAAAAAAAAUAAAAAGUAACAAAGUAAGAAAAUAAAAAAUUUACGAAUCAAAAAAAUAUAAAAAGACAAAAUGAAUAAAAAUUUCAAAUACAAAAUGGAAAAAACUUUUAGUUUAGAAUGCACAAAAAAACAAAAAUAUAUAUAUAUAUAUAUAACAAAUAGAGGAAAAAGAUGAAAAAUAAAAUAAAAGUUAAUAAAAAAUAUAAAUAAAAUAAAAGAAUGUGCACAAAAAAGAAGUUUGAGGUUUUAAAAUUAUAAAGAAGAAAUAAAAAAAGUGCGAACAAAAAGAUUUAAGAGAAAGCAAGAAAAAAAUAAAAAAUGAAACAAAAUAUAAAAUAAAAAAAAAGAAAAAAAUAUAAGAAAAAAUUUUAAAACAAAGAAAAAAGUGAACAAAAAAAAAUGAAAGCACAUAAAAAAAAAAAGAAAAAAUUUGAAAGGAGAAAAAGUUAAUGAAAAAUUAUAAAAAUGCAAUAAAAAAUAACCGAGAAUGAUAAAAUAAGAAAAAAAGAUAGAAAAAUAAAAAAUUUGAAAACUUAACAAAAAUUUAUGAAACUAUAAAAAAAGAAAGAAAAAAAUAAAAAUAAAAUAAGAAAAAAAUUAAAGCAAAAGAAAAAGAUAAAUAAAGCACAAAAAAAGAAAAAAAACAAAUACAACAAAAAAUAAAAAGUAAGAAAAUAAAAAAGGAAAAAAUUGAAAAACAUAUAAGCCUAAUAAUAAAACAAUAUAAAAAGUGAGAAAAAAAAUUAAAAAAGAGAAAAGUUAAUGCAAAAUAAAAAAGUAUGAGAAUUUAAAAACGCAAAUAAGAAAUGAAAGGAAAUUUGUGAAAAAAAAUAAGAAAAGCAAGAAAAGAAUAAAAAUGAAAAGACAAAAGAUUUGGAAUAAAAAAGAAAAAAAUAAAAAUUUUUAAAAUAACGAAAAAAUUAAAACAAGUAAAAAUGAAAGCAUAUGAAAAAAAGCAAAAAGAAGGAAAAUUUGAAGGGAAAAAGUUAUUAAAAAAUUACAAAGUAGAACAAAAAUAGCAAAAAAAAAAAAGAAAAUAAAAAAAAAUUUUGAACUUUAUAAAAAUUUUUUAAAAUAUAAAUAAAAUAAAUGGAAAAAUAAAUUAAGAUAAAAUAUUAAUAUAGAAGAAAAAAUUCAAUAAAAUACCAAAAAAGCAAAAAAUAAAAAAGUAAGAUAUUAAAAAAUUAGCGAAUAAAAAAAUAUAAAAGAAAAAUGAAUAAAAAUUUCAAAUACAAAAUAGAAAAAACUUUUAGUUCAGAAUAUACAAAGAAAAACAAAAAAAAAAAAACAAAUAUAGGAAAAAAUAUAAAAAUCAAAGAUAAAAAAUAAAAUAAAAACAAAAGAAAGUGCACAAAAAAAGUCUAAUAAUUUAAAGAUGCAAAUAAGAAAUGAAAGGAAAUUUGUGAAAAAAAUAAGAAAAGCAAGAAAAGAAUAAAAAUGAAAAGACAAAAGAUUUGGAAUAAAAAAGGAAAAGAAAUAUAAAAAAUUUUAAAACAACAAAAAAAUUAAAACAAGCAACACUGAAAGCAGAUGAAAAAAAAAAAAAGCAAAAAGAAAGAAAAUUUUGAAGGGAAAAGUUAUUGAAAAAUUACAACAUAGAACAAAAAA